AGAGGGACAGCUGGGUCAAAUGGUAGUUACAUUUCCAAUUUUCUAAGAAAUCUUCAUACUUCUUUCCAUAUUGGCUGCACCAGUUUUCAGUCCCACCAGCAGU
rnacentral:pre_miRNA from 1 species